AGUCGUAACAAGGUUUCCGUAGGUGAACCUGCGGAAGGAUCAUUACUGAGUGCGGACCCCUCGCGGGUCCAACCUCCCACCCGUGUCUCUUGAAUACCCUGUUGCUUUGGCGGGCCCACCGGGUCGCCCCGGUCGCCGGGGGGCACUGCGCCCCCGGGCCUGCGCCCGCCAGAGCGCUCUGUGAACCCUAAUGAAGAUGGGCUGUCUGAGUGUGAUUUUGAAUUAUCAAAACUUUCAACAAUGGAUCUCUUGGUUCCGGCAUCGAUGAAGAACGCAGCGAAAUGCGAUAAGUAAUGUGAAUUGCAGAAUUCCGUGAAUCAUCGAAUCUUUGAACGCACAUUGCGCCCCCUGGCAUUCCGGGGGGCAUGCCUGUCCGAGCGUCAUUUCUGCCCUCAAGCGCGGCUUGUGUGUUGGGUGUGGUCCCCCCGGUGUUGGGGGGACCUGCCCGAAAGGCAGCGGCGACGUCCCGUCUAGGUCCUCGAGCGUAUGGGGCUUUGUCACCCGCUCGGGAGGGGCCUGCGGGCGUUGGCCACCCACGAUAUUUUUUUACCGUUGACCUCGGAUCAGGUAGGAGUUACCCGCUGAACUUAAGCAUAUCAAUAAGCGGAGG
rnacentral:misc_RNA from 1 species